AGUAAGGCAAAUAGAAAUAAGGAAAAUGGGAAUCUAUAGUGUCCAUUCAUCCACUGGGCCAGCACCAGAGGCUUCAAAGAGAUGCAACUCCCGCCACCAGCAGAUAGGGAGUAGCAUCUCAUCCACAUGGAGACUCAUGGUAUUUUUAAAUACUGACUGACAGCUUAAGAUCUGAAGAACAGUCUUUAUGUUGUUUUGUUCUUAUCGUUGUUUUCUUUCCAUUUCCAGCAAUUUUUGUGUCAUUUGCCAAGUUAGCAGCAAAGAUGUUAUGUUUCCUUCCAGAUCACUGAUAAAGACAUUGAAUGGCAAUGGCUCCUUUGAAGCCGUUAAUAACCCAUUAGAAGAGAGUAGAAACAUGCUGAUACAGCUGCUAAUUGGUUCUGAGGGCAUGUGAUGCAGGUGAGGAUAACGUUUGAGAGAAAAUUCCUGCAUCGCCUCAUCGCACACUUUCUACAGCAUGGAGCUGUUGGAUUGAAAAGGGAUUUUGAAAUGCACGGUGUUACCCAGGCUGCAUCCAUUGCUCUUUCGUGCUAAACUGCUAUGAAGUUUCCCAGCUUGUAUUUGUCAGCACAGCAGCCUGGUUCUUUGAAGAGACAAGAAGCAGGGAUUUCUUCUGUAAGGUGCUUAACCUACAUUUCAACCCUAUUAAACAAGCGAAGAGAAACC
rnacentral:lncRNA from 7 species